rnacentral:rRNA from 1 species
AACUGCUGSACAAGGAGUGUUCURUUGAACUCMUUUUCACACAAUGAACAACCGGCUUAGAACUGAUUCGGGCAAGGGGAAUCCGACUGYUUAAUUGAAACAAAGUAUUGCCAUGCCCUGAAAGGAUGUUGACCCAAUGUGAUUUCUGCCCAGUGCUCUGAAUGUCAAAGUGAGGAGAUUCAACUAAGCGCGGGUAAACGGCGGGAGUAACUAUGACUCUCUUAAGGUAGCCAAAUGCCUCGUCAUCCAAUUAGUGACGCGCAUGAAUGGAUUAAUGAGAUUCCUACUGUCCCCAUCUACUGUCCAGCGAAACCACAGCCAAGGGAACGGGCUUGGGUGAGUCAGCGGGGAAAGAAGACCCUGUUGAGCUUGACUCUAAUCCGACUUUGUGAAAUGACUUAGGAGGAGUAGGAUAUGUGGGAGCUUAGGUGAUCUUGAAAUACCACUACUUUUAAUGUCACUUUACUUACUCUAUCCAACUGUGCCCUGCCUCACMGCMGGKUUUUGCUUUYAAGGCUKCUCUUUUGGCGUGUUGAUUUGCGUAGAAGACGUCGUCCGGUGGGGAGUUUGGCUGGGGCGGCACAUCUGUUAAAGGAUAACGCAGGUGUCCUAAGGUGAGCUCAAUGAGAACAGAAAUCUCAUGCGGAUCAAAAGGGGAAACGCUUGCUUGAUUUUGCUUUUCAGUGUGAAGAUAAACUGUGCAAACAUGGCCUAUUGAUCCUUUAG